AGAGUUUGAUCCUGGCUCAGGAUGAACGCUAGCUACAGGCUUAACACAUGCAAGUCGAGGGGCAUCAGUUUGGUUUGCUUGCAAACCAAAGCUGGCGACCGGCGCACGGGUGAGUAACACGUAUCCAACCUGCCUCAUACUCGGGGAUAGCCUUUCGAAAGAAAGAUUAAUAUCCGAUAGCAUAUAUUUCCCGCAUGGGUUUUAUAUCAAAGAAAUUCGGUAUGAGAUGGGGAUGCGUUCCAUUAGUUUGUUGGGGGGGUAACGGCCCACCAAGACUACGAUGGAUAGGGGUUCUGAGAGGAAGGUCCCCCACAUUGGAACUGAGACACGGUCCAAACUCCUACGGGAGGCAGCAGUGAGGAAUAUUGGUCAAUGGACGCGAGUCUGAACCAGCCAAGUAGCGUGAAGGAUGACUGCCCUAUGGGUUGUAAACUUCUUUUAUAUGGGAAUAAAGUGGUCCACGUGUGGACUUUUGUAUGUACCAUAUGAAUAAGGAUCGGCUAACUCCGUGCCAGCAGCCGCGGUAAUACGGAGGAUCCGAGCGUUAUCCGGAUUUAUUGGGUUUAAAGGGAGCGUAGGCGGAUUGUUAAGUCAGUUGUGAAAGUUUGCGGCUCAACCGUAAAAUUGCAGUUGAUACUGGCAGUCUUGAGUGCAGUAGAGGUGGGCGGAAUUCGUGGUGUAGCGGUGAAAUGCUUAGAUAUCACGAAGAACUCCGAUUGCGAAGGCAGCUCACUGGAGUGUAACUGACGCUGAUGCUCGAAAGGUGUGGGUAUCAAACAGGAUUAGAUACCCUGGUAGUCCACACAGUAAACGAUGAAUACUCGCUGUUUGCGAUAUACAGUAAGCGGCCAAGCGAAAGCAUUAAGUAUUCCACCUGGGGAGUACGCCGGCAACGGUGAAACUCAAAGGAAUUGACGGGGGCCCGCACAAGCGGAGGAACAUGUGGUUUAAUUCGAUGAUACGCGAGGAACCUUACCCGGGUUUGAACGCAUUUGGACAGUCCUUGAAAGAGGAUCUCUAGCAAUAGCCGUUUGCGAGGUGCUGCAUGGUUGUCGUCAGCUCGUGCCGUGAGGUGUCGGCUUAAGUGCCAUAACGAGCGCAACCCUUAUCUUCAGUUACUAACAGGUCAUGCUGAGGACUCUGGAGAGACUGCCGUCGUAAGAUGUGAGGAAGGUGGGGAUGACGUCAAAUCAGCACGGCCCUUACGUCCGGGGCUACACACGUGUUACAAUGGGGGGUACAGAAGGCCGCUACCUGGUGACAGGAUGCCAAUCCCAAAAACCUCUCUCAGUUCGGAUCGAAGUCUGCAACCCGACUUCGUGAAGCUGGAUUCGCUAGUAAUCGCGCAUCAGCCAUGGCGCGGUGAAUACAAACCCGGGCCUUGCACACACCGCCCGUCAAG
rnacentral:rRNA from 1 species